rnacentral:rRNA from 1 species
AAUCCGGUUGAUCCUGCCGGAGGCUACCGCUAUUGGAGUUCGAUUAAGCCAUGCGAGUCGAGAGUCUUAGGGACUCGGCGUACCGCUCAGUAACACGUGGGUAACCUGCCCUAUGCUGGGGAAUAACCUCGGGAAACUGAGAAUAAUGCCCCAUAGUCCACAAUGCCUGGAACGGUUUGUGGAUUAAAGCCCCGGCGGCAUAGGAUGGGCCUGCGGCGUAUCAGGUUGUAGGGGGUGUAACGUACCCUCUAGCCAUCAACGCGUACGGGUGUUGGGAGACAUAGCCCGGAGAUGGAUUCUGAGACACGAAUCCAGACCCUACGGGGUGCAGCAGGCGCGAAAACUUGGCAAUGCGAG